rnacentral:rRNA from 1 species
GGGGAAUAUUGCACAAUGGGCGCAAGCCUGAUGCAGCAACGCCGCGUGAGGGACGAAUGCCUUCGGGUUGUAAACCUCUUUUAGUAGGGAAGAAGUGAAAGUGACGGUACCUGCAGAAAAAGCACCGGCUAACUACGUGCCAGCAGCCGCGGUAAUACGUAGGGUGCAAGCGUUGUCCGGAAUUAUUGGGCGUAAAGAGCUCGUAGGCGGUUUGUCGCGUCUGCUGUGAAAUCCCGAGGCUCAACCUCGGGUCUGCAGUGGGUACGGGCAGACUAGAGUGCGGUAGGGGAGAUUGGAAUUCCUGGUGUAGCGGUGGAAUGCGCAGAUAUCAGGAGGAACACCGAUGGCGAAGGCAGAUCUCUGGGCCGUAACUGACGCUGAGGAGCGAAAGCAUGGGGAGCGAAC